rnacentral:rRNA from 1 species
UACGUAGGGGGCAAGCGUUGUCCGGAAUUAUUGGGCGUAAAGCGCGUGUAGGCGGCUCGGUAAGUCUGCUGUGAAAGUCCAGGGCUCAACCCUGGAAUGCCGGGUGGAUACUGUCGAGCUCGAGUCCGGAAGAGGCGAGUGGAAUUCCUGGUGUAGCGGUGAAAUGCGCAGAUAUCAGGAGGAACACCAAUGGCGAAGGCAGGUCUCUGGGCAUUGAACUGACGCUGGAGGAGCGAAAGCAUGGGGAGCGAACAGG